UUCAGGCCGGUCAACGUCCCGCCCCGGCCCCGAGCUCCAGCCUCGCCCUUCCCACGGCGGCCCCACGGGGUUCUGGGUGCGGCCUCUCCUUACCUCCGUCGGACCCAAACGCCCAAAACGCUCACCCCGUCCUCAGCUCUGCCGAGCCCAAAGCCCCGCCCCUCCCGCUCCGUUCCCCACCGCGCAGCUCCAGGCCCCGCCCACCUAGUCCUCCUCCGCUGAGUUCCCGCGCGGCCCUUUCCCUCACGCCAAGGGUCGGCUCCCUAGAGGGUCGCCCCUCCACACACACCUCAGUACCUCCAGGCCGUUUCUAACGUAGCAGCGUCCCUCUGGGGGCCGCCCUUCCCCGCCCCCCACUCACCGGCACGGCUCCCCCGUUUCUCUCUAAAGCCCCCAGUCGGAGGGCCCUUUCAGUCCCUCUGCCUUCAACCCUGCCCUGGACAGGGCUCCGCCCGCGACACGGCCCCGCCGACACCUCCCCACCUGCGAGGGAGUCCUGGCCACCGCCCGCCACGCGCAGGGACCUGGAUCCCAUUGCCUCCUCCAAAUCCUUCACUCAGUGAGACGGGGUUGGCUGCUUUUCCCAACUUUAUCCUGCUCCUUCUCCUUUCUGUCUUCCUGCCUCCCCCGUCCUCCAUGUGUUCAGCAGUCUCUCAAAUGAAUCCCCAAAUGCCCCCGUCCCCUCCCCAGAUCCCCCUCCUCCCUCUCUGAGUGCCCGAAGGACUGACUCUGCCCCUUCCUGAGGGCACUGCUCCCAGAUGUCAUUUAUAUUCUAGUAACCUCUGAGCAGGGCUCUGAGUGCCCCCGACCUCCUUCGUGUCUGAAUCUGGCAACAGCGACACUUUGCUAAGUGAAUGGAUGUGAUUAAUAAAUUGAGCAAUGUUCAUUGGAAAACACAUUUAAUUUCAAAGUAAACAAAGAUGUUUGUACAUUAAAGUA